GACGAACGCUGGCGGCGUGCCUAAUACAUGCAAGUCGAACGCAGUGGGGACGGGUGAGUAACACGUGGGUAACCUCCCAUCAGAGGGGAUAACACUUGGAAACAGGUGCUAAACCGAUACUGAUGGAUGGACCCGCGGUGCAUUAGCUAGUUGGUGAGGUAACGGCUCACCAAGGCCACUAUGCAUAGCCGACCUGAGAGGGUGAUCGGCCACACUGGGACUGAGACAGGGCCCAGACUCUGACGGGGGGCAGCAUUAGGGAAUUGUCGGCAAGGGACGAAAGUUGGACGGAGCAACGCCGGGGGAGUGAAGAAGGUUUUGGGAUCGUAAAACUCUUUGGUUAGGGAAGCGGUAUUUAACCAGAAAGCCACGGCUAACUACGUGCCAGCAGCCGCGGUAAUAC
rnacentral:rRNA from 1 species